GCUGGUACUCAUUGAACACUAACAGAAACAAGAACCAUAGAGUAGGGGUUGUUAUAACCGUCAUAAGGUUGUUAUAACAUGCUAACGAAACCACAGGCAAUGUUGUUAUAACCACAUGGUAAGGUUAUAACUAUAGGCCGGGUUGUUAUAACCACAUGGUGAGGUUAUAACUAUAGGCCGGGUUGUUAUAACCACAUGGUGAGGUUAUAACUAUAGGCAGGGUUGUUAUAACCACAUGGUGAGGUUAUAACUAUAGGCAGGGUUGUUAUAACCAUAUGGUAAGGUUAUAACUAUAGGCAGGGUUGUUAUAAACAGGUAAUAUGGGUUAUAAUACACUAAUGAGCCAUAGGCAGGGUUGUUAUAACCACAUGGUGAGGUUAUAACUAUAGGCAGGGUUGUUAUAACCACAUGGUGAGGUUAUAACUAUAGGCAGGGUUGUUAUAACGACAUGGUGAGGUUAUAACUAUAGGCAGGGUUGUUAUAACCAUAUGGUAAGGUUAUAACUAUAGGCAGGGUUGUUAUAAACAGGUAAUAUGGGUUAUAAUACACUAAUGAGCCAUAGGCAGGGUUGUUAUAACCACAUGGUGAGGUUAUAACUAUAGGCAGGGUUGUUAUAACCACAUGGUGAGGUUAUAACUAUAGGCAGGGUUGUUAUAACGACAUGGUGAGGUUAUAACUAUAGGCAGGGUUGUUAUAACCAUAUGGUAAGGUUAUAACUAUAGGCAGGGUUGUUAUAACCACAUGGUGAGGUUAUAACUAUAGGCAGGGUUGUUAUAACCACAUGGUGAGGUUAUAACUAUAGGCAGGGUUGUUAUAACCACAUGGUGAGGUUAUAACUAUAGGCAGGGUUGUUAUAACCACAUGGUGAGGUUAUAACUAUAGGCAGGGUUGUUAUGACUUCGGUUAAUCACAUAAAUAAAGCUAAUUAAAUAUGUUUUUAGAAAUAGUGUUCAGAUAAUAUAGACAUAUAUAAUAUAGACAUAUACUGUCAUAACAGUAUACUAGUAUAAGGAACUACAACCCUUUGAGAGAAACAGAACUGACUUGGUAAUAUAAACACAGUGCAGUAUGAUUACCUACCUGCUCUCAGGUAACACAGUAUGAUU